rnacentral:rRNA from 1 species
GUCUACAGCCAUGCCACCCUGAACAAGCCCAAUCUCGUCUGAUCUUGGAAGCAAAGAAGGGUCGGGCCUGGUUAGUACUUGGAUGAGAGACCACCUAGGAAGACCAGGUGCUGUAGCGU